rnacentral:rRNA from 1 species
UGAAUACGAGAUGCUACGGCGUCGAAGCAGUCUAUGUCAUACUUCCAAGAAAAGCUUGCACUGUCAUAAACAAAUAAUGCCUGUACCAUAACCGACACAGGUGGGUAGGUAGAGUAUACUAAGGGGCGCGAGAUAACUCUCUCUAAGGAACUCGGCAAAAUGACUCCGUAACUUCGGGAGAAGGAGUGCCUUAUUUAUAAGGUUGCAAUAACAAGAUCCAAGCAACUGUUUACCAAAAACACAGGUCUCCGCUAAGUCGUAAGACGAUGUAUGGGGGCUGACGCCUGCCCAGUGCCAGAAGGUUAAAGAAGUUGGUUAGCAUCCGCGAAGCUGAUAACUGAAGCCCUGGUGAACGGCGGCCGUAACAAUAACGGUCCUAAGGUAGCGAAAUUCCUUGUCGGGUAAGUUCCGACCCGCACGAAAGGCGUAAUGAUUUGGAUACUGUCUCGGAGAGGGGCUCGGUGAAAUAGACUUGUCUGUGAAGAUGCGGACUACCUGCACCAGGACAGAAAGACCCUAUGAAGCUUUACUGUAACCUGAAAUUGAAAUUGGACUUUACUUGCGCAGUAUAGGUGGGAGGCGUUGAGAAUAUUCUUGCGGGAUUAUUGGAGCCAUCAGUGAGAUACCACUCUUGUAAUGUUAGAUUUCUAACUUUGUAUCAUUAUCUGGUCAAAGAACAGUUUCAGGCGGGCAGUUUGACUGGGGCGGUCGCCUCCUAAACGGUAACGGAGGCGCACAAAGGUUUCCUCUGAACGGGUAGAAAUCGUAUCUAGAGUGUAAAGGCAUAAGGAAGCUUGACUGUGAGACCUACAAGUCGAGCAGGGACGAAAGUCGGUCUUAGUGAUCUGACGGUGCUGAGUGGAAAGGCCGUCACUCAACGGAUAAAAGUUACUCUAGGAUAACAGGCUGAUCUCCCCCAAGAGUUCACAUCGACGGGGAGGUUUGGCACCUCGAUGUCGGCUCAUCGCAUCCUGGGGCGGUAGUACGUCCCAAGGGUUGGGCUGUUCGCCCAUGAAAGCGGUACGCGAGCUGGGUUCAGAACGUCGUGAGACAGUACGGUCCAUAUCCGGUGUAGGCGUUAGAAUAUUGAGAGGAGCCUUCUUUAGUACGAGAGGACCGAGAAGGACAUACCUCUGGUGUACCAGUUAUCGUGCCAACGGUAAACGCUGGGUAGCUAUGUGUGGAGUGGAUAACCGCUGAAAGCAUCUAAGUGGGAAGCCCACCUCAAGAUAAGUAUUCUCA